AUGUUAGGUGAUGUGAUGAUGGCUUCAAAACCAUUUUCUCUCUGAUUUCAGACGAUUUUGUGAUUGGGAGGUGCAAGACCUUCUUGCCAAGAAAGGAGCUCUGGACAAGGUUCAGGAGAAUUACUUCUUCCUGGAAAGUGAAGUCAGGUCACCCAGAGAUGUGCCUGGAGGAGGAACAGCUCAGAGAUGGUAUUGAAAUGUAAAACUGGACAAUGCCAGAACAACUUCAGCCCUUUGCUGAUUGAAGAAACAUUGCCCAGAGCCUGAGAUGCAUGGAGAAUCCUGGAAGGAAUCUGCUUAGGAGGACUACCAAAAGUCUGCAUCCAGGCUAUGGCUUGGUACACGCCUCUCUACUGCAACAGAAGACAAGGAUGGGUGGCAAAAGAGGAAAAAACAGUUUGAGAACAUUGUUUUACAAUUUUCUCAACAACAGAACAAAAAGAAGGACGGCAACAUGA
rnacentral:lncRNA from 13 species